rnacentral:lncRNA from 1 species
UACUUACAUAUAAUAAAUAAAUCCUUUAAAAAAAAAAAAAAAAAAAAAAAAAAGAAAGAAAGUAAGCCAGCAUGUGGGCUCUGGGAAUACUGUUCAACUGGUAAAGUGCUACAUGCAAGCAUGAGAACAUAGCCUGGCUCCCUGGGACCCAGGUAAAAAUCUGGGUACAGUGCCAUUUACCUGAAAUCCCAGAGCUGGGAGACACGAUAAGAGAUUUCUUGAGGUGAGCCAGUAUAACUGAUUUGGGAUCUUUAUUUAAAUAAGGUGGGGCAUGAUUGAGGAAGACAGUCAAUAUCAAACUCUAGUCAUCACAUGCACAAACCCCUCAAGAGACAGAAAGACUGGCUGGCCAUGGUGGUGCACGCCUUUAAUCCCAGUACUUGGGAGGCAGAGGUAGUCAGAUGUCUGUGAGUUCAAGGCCAGCCUGGUCUCAUCACAGGUUCUAAGACAGUUAGAAAUACAAAGAAGGACCUGUUUGGAGGCAGGGGGUCAGGGUUGGGGGUCAGGGGGGAGACUGACAGAAACAGAGAAAUCAUGAAGACCAUUCUUUAGCUGAGUCUCUCGGCUUCCUUUCUCUUUUUACCUGCUCCAUUUUAGCCUCCUUUCAUCUUUCCUGUAGUUGACUUAGCAGGGAACUAAGAUGCUCACCAGAACGUUAUAUCCUAAACUAAGCCUUGAAUUUCAAAUAUCAUUCUUGUCUCUUCAAGCCUCCCAACCCACUAAGUCCACCACUGCAAACUACAAAUAGUGGGAGUUUAAGUCCCUAUUUUCCGUGGUGAGAGGCAGCCCCACCACAGGCAAACCCUGUGACCGACUCCUUUUCUCUCCAGGUGGUUGGCCUUGAAUCUAGCAGGCUGUGCGUUGGGCAUCCUGCCUACUGGGUACUCAUUU